ensembl:lncRNA novel transcript
GCCGUCCUGUCUGACGCUGAGAGCGGCAGCCUGCGUCCAACAGCGUCCGACCGCAGCCUGCGGGGGCUCUCGGGCCAGCGGACCCCGUCUCCACCGCGGCGCUCCUCGCCGGGCCGAGGCCGUUCGCCCCGCAGAGGCCCCUCCCCGGCCUGCUCAGAAGACUCCACGCUCGCUUGCCCUGAUUCUCUCCGCCCUGCACUUUUGCCAGCUGAAGGUCCAGGGAGAAGAGCAACCUGGUCCACAGCCUGCAGGUGGCCCAGCAGCAGGCCGAGGAGCUGCCGCAGGAGCGGGAGAAGCUGCAGGUUGCCCAGGAGGAGCUGCAGCGCCAGCGGGACCGGCUGGAGGAAGAGCAGGAAGAGGCGGUGCAGAAUGGCGCACGGGUUCGCCGGGAGCUUGAGCGCAGCCAUAGACAACUAGAGCAGCUGGAAGGGAAGCGCUCAGUCCUGGCCAAGGAGCUGGUGGAGGUGAGGGAGGCGCUGAGCCGCGCCACGCUGCAACGGGACAUGCUGCAGGCCGAGAAGACCGAGGUGGCCGAGGCGCUGACCAAGGGUGAGGCUGGCCGCAUGGAGCUCGAGCUCUCCGUGACCAAGCUGAGGGCAGAGGAGGCCUCCCUGCAGGACUCCCUGUCCAAGCUGAGCGCCCUCAACGAGAGCCUUGCUCAGGACAAGUUGGAUCUGAACUGCCUUGUCACCCAGCUGGAGGAAGAAAAGGCCAUGCUGCAGGGCCGGCAGCGGCAGGCGGAGCAGGAGGCCACAGUGGCGCCGGCAGAGCAGGAGUGGCUGGAGGAGCUGUGGUUGGAGCAGGAGGUGGCACGGCAGGGCCUGGAGGGCUCCCUAUGAGUGGCGGAGCAGGCCCAGGAGGCGCUGGAGCAACAGCUCCCCACACUGCACCAUGAGCUCAGUUGGCUGCAGGAGCAGCUAGCACAGGGGAUCAUGUUCGGACCCCCAGGCCAGCCCACUGCUGCUCCUUGGCACUUUCACGGCCCUGGCGUGUCCCCGUCAUAGCCCUUAUCAGUCCCUUGUAUUUACCUGGUCACCCUCCAUCUCUGAGGGUAUGGGGGCCAGAUGGCUCUUGCUGCCCUGAUGUUUUGGGGGGUCUGCCUGGGCCCCUCCUGGUGUGUCACACGCGUCCAGUCCUGGCCCCCUAGGAGGCAGCAUGGCGGGAGCUGGAGGCCGAGCGGGCCCAGCUGCAGAGUCAGCUGCAGCGUGAGCAGGAGGAGCUGCUGGCCCGGCGGAAGGCUGAGAAGGAACAGCUGAGUGAGGAGAUUGCUGCCCUGCAGCAGGAGCAUGACGAGGGCCUCCUCCUGGCCGAGAGCGAGAAGCAGCAGGCCUUGUCUCUGAAGGAGUCUGAGAAGAUGGCGCUGUCAGAGAAGUUGAUGGGUACACGGCACAGCCUGGCCACCAUCUCCCUGGAGAUGGAGCGGCAGAAACCAGAUGCCCAGAGCCGGCAGGAGCAGGACCGGGUAGGCCUGCCGUCGUAGGGAGGCUUGCGGAGCAGGAGCGCCCUCUCUCCACCGAGCUAUCCCGCGGUUUCCAGCAUCCCAUCUGGCGGACUCCUCUUCCUCUCUCUUCUCCUACUCUGGGUCUUCUAUCCUGGUGUUCCUUGAAUGCCUAUCUUCCUUUUGUGCCUCGGAACCUCUCACGCCUGCCACAAGUUACUCUUUUCCUUGGUAGUUCUGAACUUUAAAUAAGGUAAUGCCUGUAAGAAUGCCAUAAAUGCUCAAUAAUUGUCAUCUGUUAUUAUUUUCAUCAGUAACAUCAUCUGAAUCAUCAGUAUUGUCUGCUUUUAACAGCUGCAUUUUUCAUUGUCCAAAUAUAGUCACAUACAUUUGACCAUUUUAUAAUUAUUGAAUAAUAAAUUUGUUCUGCUAUUUUACAAUGAAAAAUAAUGCUGCAGAGAGCAUUUUUGCACAUGUAUCGUGGCAGAUGUAGGCCAGAGGCUCUUCUUUUAUCCAUCCUAUGGCCAACCUAUGAAUGUAUACACGUUUAAUGAGAUUUUGCCAGCAAUCAAAGCCUUCAGGGAAAAUGUCCCUAGCUCUUUACUACAUCAGAUCAAGGACUCUGGAUAAUUGGCAUAACAUCCUGGAAUAGCUGAAACAGAGAUAUUAUUCUCUGCUCUCCUCUGUUGUCUUUGUCUUUUCACGUCUUAAUAAAAGUGCUGGUGACAAGAGUGUAA